rnacentral:tRNA from 1 species
GGAGGGGUGGCAGAGUUCGGUUGAUUGCGGCGGUCUUGAAAACCGUUGUGGCUUUUACAGUCACCGGAGGUUCAAAUCCUCUCCCCUCCGCCA